rnacentral:lncRNA from 1 species
UCUGUGGACAAGGUUUACAGGGUAAGACCUGUUCCACCAUGCUCACCAAUCACAAAAUUUCUUGCCAAUCCUCUCCUUCUUUUACUAAUCAUUAAUCUCUCUCAAGCUUCUAUCUCAACCCAUAGAUGGCACUUCUAUAUCCAAGCAAUAUAGCACCAGGAUGGCAUCACCCACUCUCAGUUUAUGGGUCAAAGUGAUUGCCCUUCCACUGGCUGCAAUCAGGUCAUCACCUUAACAUUACUGGAUUCAACCAAACCACCUCUGAUAUUUCCUAGAGUCCUCACCAGAGGACCAAUGGCUGAUACCAAGGAUCUCCACUGCUCAACCUAUGGCUUCAAGGAACCUUUAUGGACUUUGCCCUUUCCUAGAUAACUGUCCAUAGCCAGUGUAUGUUAUUUCUAGCUGCUCUGGUAUUCCCAAGCUUUUCCCUGAACAUUCCCCUGCUCUCCCAGGUAGGCCCCACGCUGCCCCCUCUCAGCAGGAAGUAGCCAGUUUGAAUUACACCAUCCCCAAGCCACUUAGAAAAACAAAAAGGGAGAAAUGUUAGUUGCAGAGCAGGCAGAACAAAUGUUAGCUGCAAUGUGGGCUGAACACUGGACCCUCACCCGUCUGGUUUCUUAUGACUUGUUUGCCUCAAGAAUGAACACUCAAGCCCACUCAAGACUGAACAUUCAACCCCCACCAGUCUGGUGCAAAGGAAGCACACAUCUGACCCCUGACCUGUCUGCCUGAAGGCAGAAGAUGACACCCUUAGCAACUACUGUAUGAUCCAAUCACUAUACACCAACUAGGCAGCUUGCAGACCCAGAGACCCCAUUAGAUUUUGGCUAUAGCAACUCUCUCCUGCUGGACCUUCCUCUGUUGCUCUCUCUUUCUUCUCUCUCUCUCU